UCCCGCUGCCCGUCACCGCCCGCUCGUCUCCCCCCGCACGCAGCUCGCAGGAGAAAUUUGGAAGGCAGCGUGCACGCCUCGGAAGGUAGAACGUUAUGUCUUACUGAAUAUAUGCUUUGUGUGAUUACUUGUUAUGCCUUAAAAAUUUAUUGAUUUUAUCUUGUUUCUGUAUAAUUUAGAUGGAUAAGAAGCAGCAACUUUUCAUUUACACAGCUGCAGCGUAUACGUUACUUUCGAUGAUGGCCAUGAUUAUUCAAUCUAGAAAAAGAAAACGGCGUGAACCUGUAGAACCAAUUACCUAUGCUCCAAUUGAGGAGAGGGAUAGAAUGAGAAUUGAGUAUCUGAAUAAUAAGAUAUGGAAGAAUGAUGUAACUUGUGUCAAUAUGCUUAGACUUAAUAGAGCAUCUUUUUUCCGAUUUUGUAAGCUUUUUAGGGAUCGGGGCCUUUUGCAAGACACCAUACAUUUGUGUGUUGAGCAGCAGGUUGCAAUGUUUUUAAACACAGUAGGUCACAAUAUUCGAAAUAGGUUAGUUGGCACCAAUUUUGAUAGGUCCGGUGAAACUGUUAGUCGGUAUUUCAACAAAGUAAUGCACGCUAUUGGAGAGCUACGAAACGACUUCAUUACACCACCGUCGACAUCAACUCCAGCUAAAAUUGCAGGAAACCCAAGAUGGGAUCCUUACUUUAAGGAUUGUAUUGGA